CUUUCUUUGCUGGCGACCGGCGCACGGUGAGUAACACGUAUCCAACCUGCCCUUUACUCGGGGAUAGCCUUUCGAAAGAAAGAUUAAUACCCGAUAGCAUAAUGAUUCCGCAUGGUUUCAUUAUUAAAGGAUUCCGGUAAAGGAUGGGGAUGCGUUCCAUUAGGUUGUUGGUGAGGUAACGGCCCACCAAGCCUUCGAUGGAUAGGGGUUCUGAGAGGAAGGUCCCCCACAUUGGAACUGAGACACGGUCCAA
rnacentral:rRNA from 1 species